rnacentral:rRNA from 1 species
AGCAGCCGCGGUAAUUCCAGCUCCAAUAGCGUAUAUUAAAGUUGUUGCAGUUAAAAAGCUCGUAGUUGAAUUUCGAGAUCGGCUUACUGGUCGUGCUUUUGUACGUACUGGUAUAAUCGGUUUCUCCUUUCUGACGAACUUUAAUGCCAUUAAUUUGGUGUUUUAGGGAAUCAGGACUGUUACUUUGAAAAAAUUAGAGUGUUUAAAGCAGGCUCACGCUUGAAUACAUUAGCAUGGAAUAACGGAAUAGGACGUUUGAUUCUAUUUUGUUGGUUUCUAGGAUCGAUGUAAUGAUUAAUAGGGAUAGUUGGGGGCAUUAGUAUUCAAUUGUCAGAGGUGAAAUUCUUGGAUUUAUUGAAGACUAACUACUGCGAAAGCAUUUGCCAAGGAUGUUUUCAUUAAUCAAGAACGAAAGUUAGGGGAUCGAAGACGAUCAGAUACCGUCGUAGUCUUAACCAUAAACUAUGCCGACUAGGGAUCGGAUGAUGUUAAUUUUUUAAUGACUCAUUCGGCGCCUUAC